CUAUUGAGCUUCUGUCAAUUAUUUCUCAGGUGUAUAGGACAUGAAACAGUACACAUCUGGUCCUAAAAUAUGAAUGUGAAGUGGAUAUUUUGUGAAAAAGGAAUGAUUUAUUGCAUCUAUGUGGCUUAUGAUCUGGAAAGCACAAAUAACUACUUUCCAAAAUAAAAGUGACAUGGGGUUCAACCAUUGAUACAAGGACACUCAUCUACUGUGACAAAGUUGUUACAAAAGAGACACUAUGGCUUCAAUGGGAGUUUUCCGUAAAAAUCAGCUCAGUCACCAGCUGGGAAAGGCCAAAAAGAAAAAAAGUACCAGAGGCUCCAGGUGGAAAUACUUACUACCUUAAAAAUAAUUAUUAUCACCUAAAUCCUGCCCUGGCAGGGCUAUAUCUGUGUGUUAAAGUGAAGCAGCAGCAUAUUUCCUUUGGUAGAGGUCAAGAAACUCAAGGAAAUGAAUAGCUGGUCCUGACCUAGGGUUGCCUGUUAACUCAGCAGGAGGAAAAGUAAAAGCCUUUCUUGAAGGUAAAAAUAUAGCUUUAUUUUUAUCAUUCCUUGUUGUAAAUGGUUCAUAUAAGCUAUUUUGACAUCCUGACAUCUGACACACUGUCUUGCCUUGACUUUUAAUAAUCACAUAUGCUCUAACUCUAUAUUGCUUGACUUCUAAAUCUCAGUUCUUAGUCACUUAUUUCUGAGUAUUCUUUGUUUCUAGCCCACUUACGUGCUUGCUUCUUUCUUCACAAGAUUGCCUUUGUUCAUUUGAUCCUGUAUCUCUAUCCUUUUCCUGAAAAACAGUGGUUAUCAUCAUCAUUUCCUGUGGCUAUUCAAGUUUUCACAACCACUUCAUUGCCCAGAGAACUGUAGCAUCAUAGAAGCAUAGGUAUACAACUGGAU
rnacentral:lncRNA from 1 species